rnacentral:lncRNA from 1 species
UCUCUCUCUCUCUCUCNNNNNNNNNNNNNNNNNNNNUCCUCCUCUCUCUCUCUCUCUCUCUCUCUCUCUCUCUCUCUCUCUCUCUCUCUCUCUCUCUCUCUCUCUCUAUCUGCCUUAAUUGCUCCGCCCUUCGCCCCUCCUUCGCUUCUCCUCAACCGGUCUCACGCUGUUCCUUCCUUCCCUCCUCCCUCGCGUGUUUGAUUUUAUCAUGGGCGUGGAAGAGAUUUUUUUAGAAUGGGAGAAGAAACCAACGGGGAGGGGGGCGAUAGCGAUGAAACCCAGGGCUCUGUGAGCUAGGAUUGAGGGAUAUUCGGUGAUGAUGCCGCGUCAUACCACGGUUCGGGGGGUUGUGCCGAUUUAGCUCUUUUUGACUUUUGGUGCGUCAGCAUCCGUGGGAUUUGAGUUGUAU